GUUAGGAAUAUUGGACAAUGGGCGCAAGCCUGAUCCAGCCAUGCCGCGUGAGUGAUGAAGGCCUUCGGGUUGUAAAGCUCUUUAGUCCACGAAUAUAAUGACUGUAGUGGAAGAAUAAGCCCUGGCUAACUUCGUGCCAGCAGCCGCGGUAAUACGAAGGGGGCGAGCGUUAUUCGGAAUCACUGGGCGUAAAGCGUGCGUAGGCUGUUUUGUAAGUCAGAAGUGAAAGCCCAGGGCUUAACCCUGGAAUUGCUUUUGAAACUACAAGACUCGAAUUCGGGAGAGGAUAGCGGAAUUGUCAGUGUAGCAGUGAAAUGCGUAGAUAUUGACAGGAACACCAGUGGCGCAAGCGGCUAUCUGGACCGAUAUUGACGCUGAGGCACGAAAGCGUGGGGAGCAAACAGGAUUAGAAACCCUGGUAGUCC
rnacentral:rRNA from 1 species